UACGGGGGGGGCAAGCGUUGUUCGGAAUUACUGGGCGUAAAGGGCUCGUAGGUGGUCAACUAAGUCGGAUGUGAAAUCCCCAGGCUUAACCUGGGAACUGCAUCCGAUACUGGAUGGCUUGAAUCCGGGAGAGGGAUGCAGAAUUCCAGGUGUAGCGGUGAAAUGCGUAGAUAUCUGGAGGAAUACCGGUGGCGAAGGCGGCAUCCUGGACCGGCAUUGACGCUGAGGAGCGAAAGCUAGGGGAGCAAACGGG
rnacentral:rRNA from 1 species